UUUCUUUCCAAAUAAGUAGGCUGGGUAAACAAAGGCAUUCAUCCAAACAAAUCCAUUCAAAUAAUUUUUCAAUUUAGUGAGCAUCAACAUCACUAAACAUUAUCGUAGAUUUCAACGAAAGCGACGAGUCUCUAACUUCAUUAUGAUUACGGAAUUGUUGGGUGUCUUUGGACUUCUGGUCGCUAUAGGAUUUAUGGUCAAGUGUACCUUGUCUAUGCUGAAUAAACUGGGAGAAAUGAAUCGUGAAGACAGGUUUCUAGUACUAGAAGCGGAGUUUCUAGUACUGAAAGCAGAGCUUCUAGAAAUUAUGGAACUUUCAAUAACAUCCGAUGAAAAUCUAAAUACCAUCAAUAUGUUCAAAAUUAUGCUCUUCAUUUACCGCAUAAAUGAUUUGCGUAACGAAUAUAUAGAAGAAUUUGAAAGUAUAAUAUAAUUAUAUUGGAAAGAUUAUCUUUAAAAUAGUUCCGAUCUAUUUUUAUUUUUUUUUUGGCCGUAAAAAUUAAUCCAGUACUAACAACUGAAGACUUACUUUUACUAUUCGGACCUUAGUAAGAAAUAAAGAAUUUCACAAAUUCAUACGAAACCUUAUUGUAAUACCACAAAAUUUUAAGAAUGUAAAUUAUAAUAAAUGCUAUUUGCAUUAAAAAAA